rnacentral:rRNA from 1 species
GAUGAACGCUGGCGGCGUGCCUAAUACAUGCAAGUCGAGCGAACAGAUGAGGAGCUUGCUCCUCUGACGUUAGCGGCGGACGGGUGAGUAACACGUGGAUAACCUACCUAUAAGACUGGGAUAACUUCGGGAAACCGGAGCUAAUACCGGAUAAUAUAUUGAACCGCAUGGUUCAAUAGUGAAAGACGGUUUUGCUGUCACUUAUAGAUGGAUCCGCGCCGCAUUAGCUAGUUGGUAAGGUAACGGCUUACCAAGGCAACGAUGCGUAGCCGACCUGAGAGGGUGAUCGGCCACACUGGGACUGAGACACGGUCCAGACUCCUACGGGAGGCAGCAGUAGGGAAUCGUCCGCAAUGGGCGAAAGCCUGACGGAGCAACGCCGCGUGAGUGAUGAAGGUCUUCGGAUCGUAAAACUCUGUUAUUAGGGAAGAACAAAUGUGUAAGUAACUAUGCACGUCUUGACGGUACCUAAUCAGAAAGCCACGGCUAACUACGUG